rnacentral:rRNA from 1 species
AGUGAACGCUGGCGGUAGGCCUAACACAUGCAAGUCGAACGGCAGCACAGUAAGAGCUUGCUCUUACGGGUGGCGAGUGGCGGACGGGUGAGGAAUACAUCGGAAUCUACUUUUUCGUGGGGGAUAACGUAGGGAAACUUACGCUAAUACCGCAUACGACCUACGGGUGAAAGCAGGGGAUCUUCGGACCUUGCGCGAUUGAAUGAGCCGAUGUCGGAUUAGCUAGUUGGCGGGGUAAAGGCCCACCAAGGCGACGAUCCGUAGCUGGUCUGAGAGGAUGAUCAGCCACCCUGGAACUGAGACACGGUCCAGACUCCGACGGGAGGCAGCAGGGGGGAAUAUUGGAAAAUGGGCGAAAGCCUGAUCCAGCCAUACCGCGGGGGUGAAGAAGGCCUUCGGGUUGUAAAGCCCUUUUGUUGGGAAAGAAAAGCAGCAGGUUAAUACCCCGCUGUUCGGACGGUACCCAAAGAAUAAGCACCGGCUAACUUCGU